rnacentral:rRNA from 2 species
GGAAGAACACCAGUGGCGAAGGCGGCUGUCUGGUCUGUAACUGACGCUGAGGCUCGAAAGUAUGGGUAGCAAACAGGAUUAGAUACCCUGGUAGUCCAUACCGUAAACGAUGAAUGCUAAGUGUUGGAGGGUUUCCGCCCUUCAGUGCUGCAGCUAACGCAUUAAGCAUUCCGCCUGGGGAGUACGGCCGCAAGGCUGAAACUCAAAGGAAUUGACGGGGGCCCGCACAAGCGGUGGAGCAUGUGGUUUAAUUCGAAGCUACGCGAAGAACCUUACCAGGUCUUGACAUACUAUGCAAAUCUAAGAGAUUAGACGUUCCCUUCGGGGACAUGGAUACAGGUGGUGCAUGGUUGUCGUCAGCUCGUGUCGUGAGAUGUUGGGUUAAGUCCCGCAACGAGCGCAACCCUUAUUAUCAGUUGCCAGCAUUAAGUUGGGCACUCUGGUGAGACUGCCGGUGACAAACCGGAGGAAGGUGGGGAUGACGUCAAAUCAUCAUGCCCCUUAUGACCUGGGCUACACACGUGCUACAAUGGAUGGUACAACGAGUUGCGAACUCGCGAGAGUAAGCUAAUCUCUUAAAGCCAUUCUCAGUUCGGAUUGUAGGCUGCAACUCGCCUACAUGAAGUCGGAAUCGCUAGUAAUCGCGGAUCAGCAUGCCGCGGUGAAUACGUUCCCGGGCCUUGUACACACCGCCCGUCACACCAUGAGAGUUUGUAACACCCAAAGUCGGUGGGGUAACCUUUUAGGAACCAGCCGCCUAAGGUGGGACAGAUGAUUAGGGUGAAGUCGUAACAGUAACCUUUUAGGAACCAGCCGCCUAAGGUGGGACAGAUGAUUAGGGUGAAGUCGUAACA